GAUAUUCCGAUUACUGGGUGUCAAGAUUGACAUAAUCCAUUCUCUUUUGAACGUACAUACAAAGCUACGAUUCCUAGGAUCAAGAUAUUCUCAUUAUAGCACUUUGCAAAUUAGGUAUAAGUACUUUACGUUUGAACCGGCGCAUCGAGAACUGCGCAGUAUAGGUUAAGAUGCGUAGAUCGGUACAAAUAUGCGCCGCAUACUGUGUUAAUCAACAAUAUUCGAGGAUAGAUAACAGUGACAGUGUAUAUCGAUUUUUGUUAUCAAAGUAAUAAUUGCUUUAUCUAAGCUACGAUUCCUAGGAUCAAGAUAUUCUCACUAUAGCACUUUGCAAAUUAAGUAUAAGUACUCUACGUUUGAACCGGCGCGUCAAGAACUGCGCAGUAUAGGUUAAGAUGCGUAUAUCGGUAAAACUAUGCGCCGCAUACUGUGUUAACCAACAAUACUCGAGGAUAGAUAACAGUGACAGUAUAUAUCGAUUGUUUUUAAGUAACGAUUGCUUUAUCUAAAAGCAACGCUAAAACGAAUUAUUAUAUUAUUAAUUAGCAAAAUGCCUAAACUUACCGAGCUCGAAACUCGAUCACUCUCUUCUUUGCCUAUUUUCACUUCGCCCCGAGGUCCUGCGAUGCUCGAUCGUCUUUGAUCGUUCGAACAGGUUAGAAUCGUAGCGGCGCAAGUCGCAUUUUUCUCGUUAUGAGAAACGUUAACGUUUACUAACACGUGUAUCCGCGUAUAGUUUACUGACACGCGUAGUAGUUCUUCGUGCUCUCGAACUCGUAUGAAACUCGUAUUCGUUCGCGGAUGUUUUCUGUCGUAGAAAUCGCGCGCAACGUCUCGACGAAAGUGUCUCCGGCAGUGUCAAGUGGAGCGACUCGACGAUUAAGGCCCGAGGAAAUUUCGGAAUCGGCGGGCUUAAGAGAUCCGGAUCCGAGCGUUCAGAGGCCGCUGAAGAUCGAAACGAGUUCAAGAGACGCGCCCGGCCGGUUUUCUUCGGCGAUGAAAUCGGGGCCAACGGUGUGGUCGAACCGUCAUUCGACCAGGAUCGCCAUACAACUGUCACAAGAUCGCGACGAAAACUGUUGCACGAUGUUACAACGACCUGUGUCGGAUUACCCAGACGCGCUUGCAUUCUUUCGGCACCGCGCGAUGCUAAGUUUCAUGCGAACGCGUUGGAAGACAAGUUGGUCCACUGAAUCACGUAGUACACGCGCUAUUAUUCACGGCGGAGUCCAACAACGGAUACAGGGUGGCGCUGCUCAAAUAUCAUUUCAAACGUGUAAACGCGACUCCACCGUGCGUCGAAAUAGAAUCGUACGAACGGAGCAUCCGUCGAGGAUUCUUUCCAAAAGCCCGAGGCAAGACGGGGAUUCAGUAAAUUCUUCCUAAUUGAAGCUCGGACUGUGCACGAAUGUGGACAAUUUGGGAAGAGGAGAGCUGCAUAAUUGCAACUGCGCAUACUGUACGAUCGUCGCCUUUAUCGUUUGCUAUGCUGAAUUAUGAAUCGAUCAGAUGCCUUAUCGUAACCGUUAUCCACUUUCACAAGAGGAACAGCAUGAUACACUAAAUUCUCCCUAAUUCAUGCUCACAUUGUACACAAAAAUGGACAAUUUAGG